GGUGAAGUGUCCGAGCGGUUGAAGGAGCACGCCUGGAAAGUGUGUAUACAGGAAACUGUAUCAAGGGUUCGAAUCCCUUCUUCACCG
rnacentral:tRNA from 2 species